rnacentral:misc_RNA from 1 species
GUGAAUCAUCAAAUCUUUGAACGCAAAUUGCACUCUCUUCGGAGAGUAUGCCUGUUUGAGGGUCAGUAUUAAUAAAAAUCGGUGUGUUGCUUCUUUGUGACGCUCCGGAGUUUGGGUCAUCUUAAUAUCCUUUAGGUUUUAAGAGGCUUAAAAUUGACUUUUUUUGCGCAUUUUAGAUGUACAUAAAUUCUUUUUUUUUUUCUUCUGUUUUAUUGCUAAAAUUCUUAUUAAUUGCAAC